rnacentral:lncRNA from 1 species
CGGCACCCAUUGAUUUUGCACCUUCUAACAUCUCGGGUUGAGAAUUCUCGUCACACUUUUUUUUUCAUUCACAAAUUUUUUUUUGUUAUGGAUUCCUUGUCGAUUCUUCCCCUCGUUCUUUUUUUCUUGGGCUUGGCUACAUACCAAGCGUGGAUCCAUAAAAUUCCAAAAUUUUUAGAAAGUAGCUACUGUUGGCCCCAUUUAGAAUGAGAUCACAACAGAUUUGAUAGAGCCCAUCAAUUUGCUCUUUUAAGGGCUCUUCAAAAACCAAAUGAUUUUCUAUGGGUAUGUAAAUGGAUACUGAAUAUGACGACUAUUGGUGAUGCUGAUAUGUACCAUCUGAAUAUGAAUUGGAUCUUAAUGGCUGUGUGUACAUUCUGAUAUCUGUAAUUUACAUUUGCAUUGGGUGGGAAUUGUGAAAAGGAGAAAGUAAUCCGUUCUGAUUCAGUGGCUUGGCUACAAUCUAGAUGUUAAUCUGGCACUUUAGUGCAACUUGAUCUAACAGCUGGUCUGCAACUACUUGAAUAUGUCAGACCGAAACUAUAUGGUGUGCAAGGCUGGAGGGGUUUUAAACUCCCUUAUCAGUGUGUUGGGGUGAUCGAAAAUAGUGUGUAGCGGAUGUGGGUAGGAAUCACUGUAUUUAUUUCUGAUCUAUUCUAUAUCUGAAUUAGAUUUGUACUGACAUUCAAUUGAUGUGUAACAUUAUACUGGAGAGUCUCUAAUUCUGAAUAGGCUUUGACUUGGGAAUUUAUUUUUAUACUAUGCUUCUAGUUAAUUCUAUAAUGGUUAUACACUGAGUUCUCUACUCAUUUUGUUGUUGACUGAAUUUCAGGUAACUCACAAUCCUAAUCGGGUCGGCGUAUAUGCCCCUGUAUAUGCCAAAAGGGGCACUUGGGCGAUUACUAAUUCGCCAAUUGUACUUAUCAAAGACUAUGCCAAACCUAGUGCCCACCAGAAUCGGGGCAUUACAGGCUUGUUCAAAGAAUUCUCAUACUUAGCUAAAUUUUAUACUUAACACACACUCAAAACUUACUCUAUAUGCCUUACUUCCAUAAACAUCACUUGAAAAAUAAGGAUUCACUAGGUGGGAUUUUAUAAUCACCUUAACGAAGACCUCUAUGUGGCCUAAACUCAUUUGUAAGCCCACCAUUCUGUAGAAUCUGCAUAGAACUCGAGCUCACACCGAUCAACUUUAAUCGCUAACCAACCUUUAUUUCCAGAUUUAUUACGCAUAAAGUGAAUUAUCUCUUACGCUAUAAUAAUAUUAUCCGUGAUACAUCGUCUUGGGACAAAACUCGAUUGAUUAGAGAGCAUUCAAUUAGGCAUGUAAGGUUUCAGUUGGUUCACAAUCACAUUAGAAACAAUUUUAUAUAGCACUGUACACAAACUGACUGGCUGAAUUUGAUGAAUAUAUUUUGGUUUCUCUUUUUUUGGGAUAAGUACAAGCAGAGUUUUAUUGAUCCACCCUUCGAACUUGGUACCACCCAUAAUGCUUCUAACAAAGAAAAUAUACUAAAUUAUUAGUUUUAAUUCUACUAAAAUACUACUAGAAACACAUCCUAAGUUAGUAGAGUUGGAAUGGAAAGUUUCGUAGGGGUGACGAGACAUGAUGAGCAGUUUCUAACCUGAUUUAUUCUUGCGACUAGGCAUUCAUUCCUUAAUUUAGUUUUUUCCUCGUUGGUUGUAAAGUUUCCAAAUUCUUCAUAUGUUUCCCAAUCUUAUUCCAUAGGUUUUCUUCCUUGAUGUUGAGUCCAUAGAACCUUACAUUGCAAAGCUUGUGUUUUGACAACUCCUUUAGUCAUUCCUCCGAAAUAAUGUUUUACUCUUUCACCAUUGAUGAGAAAAGAUUGUCCCUCAUUUUCAAUGAGUUUUAUUGCAACUUGAGGUGUUACUUGAUUUAUAAUGUAUGGUCUUGUCCAUCUUGAUUUAAUUUUUCCAGAAAAUAAUGUUAAUCUUAAAUUGAACAAGAGUACUUUCUAUCCCAGUAAGAACUCUCAUUUUUUUAUUCUAGCAUUAGGCUAAACUUUACUCCUUUCUUUAUAUAGCUUUGCAAUUUCAUAGGCCAUAAAUCAAAAUUCUUUUAAUUCUUACAACUGGAAUAAUCUCUCUUUCUUAACCAGUUCAGGAUCUAAAUUCAAUUCAUUUAUUGCGCAAUAUGCUUUCUUUUCCACCUCAAUUAACAAAUGGCAGUUUUUCCGUACACCAACUUGUAAUGAGACAUGCCUAAAGGGUUUUUUACACUGUUCUAUAAUCCCAUAGUGCAUCAUCUAAUCUUAGCUACCAAUCUUUUCUUUUCGAAUUGAUGUUUUUUCCAAUACUUGUUAAUCUCUCGACUAGACACCUCUACUUGUCCAUUAGCCUGAAGAUGGUAUGUUGUAGUUAUUUCGUGUCUUACACUGUAAUUGGCUAAGACAAUUUUAAAUUGCUUGUUGCAGAAGUGUGAUCCUUUAUCACUUACAAGAGCACGAGGUGUUCCAGAUCUUGCAAAAAUAUUUUUUCUUAAGAAUUUGACCACUGACUUCGUAUCUUUUAUAGCUAGUGUUGUUGUCUCAACCCAUUUAAAAACGUAGUCUACAACUAACAAGAUGUACUGAUUUCUAAGGGAAAUUGGGAAAGGUCCCACAAAAUCAAUUUCCCAAAGGUCAAAUACUUCUACUUCUAGGAUUUCUGUCUGUGGCAUUUCAUCCUUUUUAGAUAUACUUCCGGUCCUUUGACAUCUAUCACACCCCUGCAUAAAUUCGCCAGCAUCUCUAUUUAUAGUUCGUCAAUAAAAUCCUGAUUGUAAUAUUUCCUAGGCUGUUCUCUUUCCUCCCAAAUUUCCACCACAUGAUGAGGUAUGGCAUUCUUGUAAGAUGUCAUUUAUCUCUUCCUCAACCACGCAUCUUCGAACUAAUUGAUUGGCGCAUUGCUAAAAAAUAUAUGAUUCUUUCCAAAUAAAUUUUUUCGACUCAUGCAUGAUUCUUUUCUUUUAUUGCCAUGAUCGUUUAUUAGAAAAAAAUCAUUUGGCAAUAUAAUUCACAUAAUCCGCGUACCAUGGUAUCUUAUUGUCCUUAUACCUUUCUUGAUGCAUUGCUACCCUGAAUAGCUACUCAUCAAUAAAGGUUUCUUUUAUUUCUUCAGAAUUUUAACUUUCGUCUCAUUUUCUAUUCUAGAAAGAUGAUCUGUAAUUAGAUUUUUCGUUUCUUUACGAUCCAGUAUGCACAGAUCAAUCUCUUGAAGCAAUAACACCCACCUCAUUAAUCUAGCCUUUAUUUCCUUUUUUUUCAUAAGAUAUUUCAAUGUAGAGUGAUCAGUGUAGACAUAAACACUAUUUGCCAUUAAAUAAGGAUGAAAUUUUUCGCAUGCAAACACAAUAGUAAGAAUUUCUUUUUCAAUAGUAGUGUAAUUACAUUAUGUUGAAUUCAAGGUCUCACUUGCAUAAUGAAUGGUGCAAAAUAUGUUGUUCCUUUUCUACUCCAGUACUACUCCUACAGCAUAAUCAUUAGCAUCGCACAUUAUAAAAAAAGGAUUCGACCAAUCAGGGGUAAUAAUAAUAGGUGCAAAAAUAAGUUUUUAUUUUAUUACCUCAAAAUCUUAGAUGCACUCUUGAUUAAAUAUGAAAGGUAUUUCCUUCUAAAGAAGUUGAUUCAACGAUUUGGAUAUGUGAUGACAGUCUUUUAUAAACUACUUAUAAAACCCAGCAUGUCCUAAGAAAUUUAGUACCCUUCGGAUCGUCGUGGGAUUAGGAAGGUUCUUUAUGACUUCAAUUUUUUCUUUGUCCACUUCCAACCGUUUUCUUGAUAUUUGAUGUCUUAAAACCAAUCCUACUUUUACCAUAAAAUAGAAUUUUUUCCUAAUUGAGCAUCAAGUUGGUUUCUUCACAUCUUUUCAAUACUUUCUCAAGGUUAUCCAAACAUUCCCGAAAGGAAUCCCAUAUACCAAAAAAUCAUCCAUGAAUACAUCGAGACCUUAUUGCAGCAUAUUGGCAAAAAUAGAAGUCAUACAUCUCAUAAAUAUUAUUAGGGCAAUACAUUCAAAUCAUAUUGAUUAUCUCAAAUAAACAUAGAGUACUUCAUAAAUGUAUAAUUAUUUCUCAAUUUUAACAAAAAAUCAUCCAAACAUAGUCAAUUCAAUUUAUGAUUAACAAAUACGUCAUUUCUCAGAUCAUAUACGGGCUUAUGUAUGCUCCAAUACCAUCCAGAAUUUAACUAGGAUUAAUUUGCAAUAUUUCCAAAAUUUUAGUUUGAUUAUAAACCAAAAUACUUCUAAGCUCAAUUUAAUCAUCAUAAAUCAAUAGUUAAUCACUAUUCAUAGAAUAUAUAUGAAAACGAAACUUAAAUCGGGUCCAUAGGACCUUAAAAAUAGUUUGGAAACAAACAAGGACUAAUCUAAAACAAAACAAAAAAAUAUGGUAAAAUUUGAAAUCAGGGGUCACACGACCGUGUGACAGAGCCCAAGCCGUGUGGGUCAGGAACAUGGUUGUGUGGCAAAACCGUGUACAAUUCAAAGUUAGGGGCACAUGGUCGUAUCUUCAGGCCAUGUAAUAGCUUGAUGUCGUGUGGGAAAACGUGCACCUAAAAAUCAAUAAGGCACACGACCAUAUGAAGAAGCCGUCUGUGGCACAUGAUUGUGUGGUAGACCGUGUCCUAGGCUGUGUGCAACCAAAAUGACUUCAAAAAUAAGUAAUUUCAAACAAAAUUUCUUAGGUAUCAAACCCAACCAUUUGCAACCAUUUCCACCUAUUCAAAAACACAUCCAUACAUAUCAAAAACAUACUAAAAACAUUCAACCUAAGUGCUUAAUCAAUGUACCAUCAUUGGUACCACAAUUCAAACAUUUAGAAUCCAAAUUAUAUACAUCAUUUCCCAAAACACAAAACAUGUAUCUAUCAAGCAUCUCAUAACCUUAAACCAUAAUAAAAACCAAACUUGGAAAUGUAUAAAUCUUACCACUUAUAUACAUAUGGUUAAAGCUUACCAAAAGAGCCAAAUAAACACAACCACAACAUCACAUAACAAAGCAUGGAACAACAUGUCUAAUAACAAGUGAAUUUGAACUCCUAGUACAUGUCACUUAUAACCUAAAUCAAAGUAAUCACAAUUUAUACCGAGUCGAUUAAGGGAUAGUGCGAGCUUCGACUUGAACUUCCAACUGAAAUAAACUUCCAAUGAUCUACAAGAAAAACAACACAAUGAAUGUAAGCAAAUCUUUGCUUAGCAAGUUUGUGUAAACUCAAACUUUAACUUUAACUUACCGUAAAAGUUGUAACUUAAACAUUUUGCAAUUAAAAUUUAUAAGCAAUGUCAUGAGUUCAUUAUUAACCUAUACAUAUCACAAGUCUCACAAGGUUAGUGAGUUCACAUAUACAAAACUUAUAACUUUAUCAUGUCAUAAAGCAUGUACUAGUAAACACAUUGGAUAUACCAUUCAUUCAACAUUUAUUCAUUUACCAAUUCACAUUUCCAUUUUAAGUGUUCAUUUCAAAUGUCCCUUCUUACAUACCUAUUCAUAUAAACAUUUCAUAUAACACUUCAUAUAAUUAUUUUCAUAUUGUCACUUCAUAUAGUUUUUUCGUUUAUAUGUUUCCGUAUAACUGAUUCAUAUAACCAUUUCGUAUAUCUAUUUCUAUAUAACCAAUUCUUAUAAUCAUUUCACAUAACCAAUUCGUAUAACCAAUUCAUAUAACCAUUUUGUAUAGCCAUUUCAAAGUGUUAACCUUAACACAACAUGAUUCAACAAUUCUAAGUCAGUAAACAACAAUAUAGGGAUAUUCAGAAUUCGUAUUUUUAUCCAUUUUAAUGAAACAAUUUAACAUUACAAGUCCGGGAAAUAGAUGAUGCUUGUAUGAGCUAAUCAGAUACAUAAAUAUAUGUGUUAGGUUACCCGUCCAGACUAAACCUUUAAAACAACCGGGCUAAACCUUUAAAACAACAAGAAUUACUAGUCCAGGCAAAAUUUAUGUCACAUGCAUAUCCGAGUCUGCAAAAAAUGUUAGAGCUUGGUCCAGAACGAGAAUCAUAUAGAAACCUUGUGUAUGAGACAUUUACUUAGUCCAUCAGAAUUAUCUUAGAAUUUGAUUUAUUAUCACGUAGUCUGAUUUCCAAUUUCAGCAGUUUAUACACAAUUAAUUAACAACAUUUAAUAUUCAAUUUUAAUUUGAAAAAUAAUAUGAACUUACCUAGACAAAAACGAUUGUGAAAACAAGGCUCACAAUUAAUCCAUUAAUUUAGCUUUUCCACGAUUCGAGUUUGAUUAUUUUGUUCCUUGAUCUAAAUAAUAUUUUUUCUUUCAAUUAAUUCAUUCAAACAAGGCUGACCCUUAAUCAUCAUUUUACACUUUUACAAUGAACUUUUACUUUUAAUUCAAUUUAGUCCCUAAACCCGAAACAUUCAAUUUAAUCAUAAAUUAAUCCAAAAAAGGCCAACCGAAUUUUGUAUAAUUCCCAUACAUCCCAUAUUCAUCAUAUUUUUACAAGAAUUUCAUAUAACUUUACUAUUUUAGCAAUUUAAUCCUUUAACAUAAAAAUUAAUCAAAAUCACUUUACAAUAUUGUUCUAUUUAAUUAUCAAGCUUAUAAAACUAUCAUAAAACUUCAAAAAAAUCACCAUUUCAUCAAUGGCAUAAUUUAAAACAUUUAAUAGUUUUACAAAUUAGCCCUUAAGUUAGCUAGAUUAAGCUAGAACAAUAUCAAAAACAUAAAAAUCACUAAAAACAUAAUUGAAAAAGCUUACCAUGCAUGAAUUAUGAACUUGGUUGAAUUUCAAGCAUUCAAAAAUGGGGUUUUAUGGCUUUAUUUCCUUCAAUUUCAGUCAAUAGAGAAAGAUGAUAGCAUUUUUACAUUUUAUUUUCUUAAACCAAAUAUUAAAUUACAAAAUUAGCCUUUUUUAACUAAAUAUUACAAUCAUGCAAUGGGCAAACUGUCUAUUAUUAAUAAUUAUGGCUAAAUUACCAUAUAAAGCCAUUCAAAUAUGUUUCUAUGCUCAAUUAACCCAUAAUAAUCAAUAGUGAUUAGCUUUUGCAACUUUCAUGAUUUAGUCCUUUUUUCUUUAAUUAACUAUCAAAUCACCAAAAUUUCCUAACCCAAUUUUAAUAUACCUAUAUUGUAACUUCGUAAAUAUUUAAUAAAAAUAUUUGCGGGCUCGGUUUAUAGAAACAAGGUCCUAGUACCUCAUUUUCCAAAACCACUUGAUUGUUGGGACAAUCACUUGUACUUAACUAUUCAUUCAAUUUGCAAAAAUUAUUAAACCAACAUUCAAUAUAGUAUCAUAAUUGAUUUGUAAAUAUUAAAUAAUAAUAUUAGGAACUCACUCAUCGGAUUUGUGAUCUUGAAACCAUUAUUUUCAAAGCCACAGAAAAACGGAUUGUUACAACCCAUCAUAGAAAUGUUGUAGUUGUAUUGCAAAGCUAACACCUCCUCCCAAUUUUGAUCGGAUAAUAAUUUUAAACCUUUCCCAUGCCUAUCCCAAUGUUUCAACAACAUCUUGCUUGAAUUUAAAUAACUUUUCAUAUGUGUUGUUUACAUGGGUCAUAGGCACAACUCAACGUAAGAAUAAUUGCAUAAAUUUAGCCCAGGUUGUAAUCAUAUCUUGAGGAAGUGCAUCUAACCAAGCUUUCGCUUGACCUUCUAAAGUAAAAGAUAUUAAUAACAAUUUGAUAACCUCUGCUAAAACACCAACAUACACAAUGGUGCUGCAAAUGUGCUCAAACUACCGGAGGAAAGCUAUGGGGUCCUCAUUUUGUUACUACCAAACCUGAUAUUUGAAGAAAUCCAUGUUAGCAACGGAUGGUUGAAUUCAAAAUAAGGACUUUGAAUAAUAGGUCGAGUAAUACUAAGGUUGUAACCAGUUCAUAUCAAAAGGAACUACCCCCUAGUGUCACGGGGCUAGACCUUUCGUCUCGCAAUCCUUACGGCCUUAGGCGAUUCGUUCGUCCAAACUCGCCCAAGUCAGCCUUAACUCAAGUGAGGAUUCUUUUAUAACUCCUCCAAGGCACCAAAUUAAAGAGCGGAAGUGAUUUUAUGCCAAAAAAAACAACAGAAAGUCACAGAAAAGAUUGCACACAAGGUGUUUGAGUAAAUGCUCUCUAUUUCUCUUAUUCACAAAGAAUAAUGAAACAAUGAAUGGAGUGAGUACAACUGAGGGGGAGGCUCUCUAUUUAUAAUUGAGCUCCCCUAAAAUCGACGGUCAAGAUACAUUUACAUCGAUGGAUGAGAUUUAACCAUAUCCCAUAAUUUUAGGAAUUUACAAGAUAAGCUUUAUCAAAUCUAAUCUAAUCUUUACAAGAUAUGACUCCCUCUAUCUUCUAAGAUUAGUUACCAUAUUAGCCUAAGUUGCCAUCUCUUCAUUAUCGGGCCAACUAGGCUUCAAUCUGACAGGCUUAUCCAAUAGCUCUUUGAAUCGGGCCAGUUCUCGUAGGCCAAAUGAUCCCCAUCUAAGCAAUAGACCUCCAUUGGAUGCAUUUGGUGCGAUGGUCACGGGCUUUGAACUACGGCCCGUGACAUUUUCCCCCACCCAUUCUCGCAACGUCCUCGUUGCGACUUUCGAAUGGCACUGACUUGAUUCUCCUCGGUCUCGUCUCGACGCCUUAGCCUUUCCCUUCCUUCGAGACUUUUGCUUCGGCUUACGUCGCUUCUUCACUCGAACCGUCCUACUCAUUUGUACAUCUCGAUGAUAAGAAGUUAUGUCACUCUCUUGUCCACAUUCUAACUUUGCUCGAACAGAAUCCUCUUGAUUCACCACACUUGGCUUGGCUUUGCCCACAGUCUCUCGGCCUCUUUGCUCAAGAACUUCGAAAGGGCCCCUACGUUCUUGCCAAGUCAACAAGUUAGAAUGCAAAACGCUAUCACAGUGUUCGAAAUGUACCUUCGCAUUUUCUCUGGUCAACUAUCCCACAUGCAUCACUUCCUUUUCCUUCAAGUCCGAUGCACCACCCACCUCUCCCAUAGGUGGAAGCUUGUCGAUGACUCGGCCAACUCCGACGCUUCACUCAACUUGAGCCUCAUUGGUCCCAGCUUCACUGUUUUCAUCGCAACUCUUUCCGCUAAGUCCGAUGACAAACUCAUCUCUUCCUUAGGUAGAAGCCCCUCCGAUGACUCACCAAGCUCAGACGUUGCCUUUCUUUUGACUCCGGCUUACUUUGGACAGUUCCGCAACUUAUGCAGACCACGGCACAAGAAGCACUUUACUCGCUUCUUUUUACUCCUCUUUGCCCUCUUGGCUUCGGCUUUUCCCUUGCUCGAACCAAGCUUCUUGGGCUCCUUGUCUACUCCAUCGUUCCCCUUGAUGACAGACUUCCUCGGAUACUUCCGCAACCUAUGCGGACCAUGACACAAGAAGCACUCCACUAGCUUCUUCUCGCUUUCGGCCUCCUUGGCUUCGACACCCCUUGCGCUCAAACCAAGUACCAAGGCCUUACCCACCGGCUUCUCCUUAAGCGCAGAUUUCUUCGGAUAUUUCUUUAACAUGUGUGGACUGUCGCAAAGAAAGCAUUUCAGCUUGUCCCUUUUCCUUUUGGGUUUUUUCUCCCCAACUCGUGGUUUCCCAUUACCACCAUUGUCGCCGUUGCCAUUUCCAUCAACAAUAUCUUCCUUGUGAUCCAUUUCACGUACACCCCUUUCCUCGGACUUGGAAGACCUAAGCUUGUCUUUCCUUAGACCAAGCUUGACCACGGACUCAGCUACCGUCAUGGCUUCCGACAACUUUUGGACACCUCUUUGUUCCACCUCCUGUCUGACCCACGGCUUCAAUCCCUUUUGAAAAGCAAGCAAUGCUUCUUCCUCGGACACAUCUGAAACUUGGAGCAUGAGUUCCUUGAACUUUUGAACAUACUCCCCCACUAUGCCCCGUUGCAUUAUCCCUUGUAACUUUGCCUGAGCUUUUUCCUCGGCAAAUUCUGGGUAAAACUGUCCCUUCAACUCACAUUGGAACUCUUGCCACGUCCCAAUCUCACAUUGCCUUUUAUCUGUGGUCCUACCUCGCCACCAUAAAAGCGCAAUGUCAAUAAGAAACAUUGAAGCAGUGUUUACCUUAACCGCAUCAUCCAUGAUGCCUUUGGCACGGAAGUAGUUUUCCAUCCUCUACAAAAAAAUUAUCCACAUCGCAUGCAGACCUUGUCCCCACAAACUCUUUCAGCUUCGGGACAUCCUCGUUACUGAGUGAUGUAUUUUCCAUUCUAUUCCCUACGGCUGCUCGACACAAGGCCAGCUCUCCCUCGAGCUCCUCUAUUCUUGUGCUCAAUGCCCUCGUCGUGGCCAUUGUUUCCUCCUUCAAAGCCAUCAUCAUGGCCUCGAGAGCAUCAUUCCUUUCCGACAGCUUGUCCCUGUGUGAAUUAAACAACUCGUUUACCUUAUCCAUUGUGAAAUCAAGAGAAAUCUUCACAUAGUUUCUGGACUGCUCCUUCCAGUUUUUUAUGUGAUCUUCGACCCCAUCAAGUGCCUCCUUUACAUCCUUCAUGGAUCCCUCGAGUUUACCCACACGUUCCUCUACUGCUGAUAAUGUCUCCUUCAAAGAAUUCCUCGCCCACCUUUGUUCGAACUCUUCUCUCGACAUCCCAACGGUGCCUUUGAACCAACAACUCGAACAUUACUUGGUUCAAACUUGGCUCGGAUACCACUUGUCACGGGGCUAGACCUUUCAUCUCGCAAUCCGUGCGGCCUUAGGCGAUUUGUUCGUCCAAACCCGCCCAAGUCAACCUUAACUCAAGUGAGGAUUCUUUUAGAACUCCUCCAAGGCACCAAAUUGAAGAGCGGAAGUGAUUUAUGCUAAAAGAAGAACAACAGAAAGCCACAGAAAAGAUUGCACACAAGGUGUUUGAGUAAAUGCUCUCUAUUUCUCUUAUUCACAAAGAAUAAUGAAACAAUGAAUGGAGUGAGUACAACUGAGGGGGAGGCUCUCUAUUUAUAGCUGAGCUCCCCCAAAAUUGACGGUCAAGAUAAAUUUACAUCGACGGAUGAGAUUUAACCAUAUCCCUUAAUUUUAGGGAUUUACAAGAUAAGCCUUAUCAAAUCAAAUCUAAUCUUUACAAGAUAUGAUUCCCUCUAUCUUCUAAGAUUAGUUGCCAUAUUAGCCUAAGUUGUCAUCUCUUCAUUAUCGGGCCAACUAGGCUUCAAUCUGACAGGCUUGUCCAAUAGCUCUUUGAAUCGAGCCAGUUCUCGUAGGCCAAAUGAUCUCCAUCUAAGCAAUAGACCUCCAUUGGAUGCAUUUGGUGCGAUGGUCACGGGCUUUGAACUGCGGCCCGUGACACUCGCACCUGGAUUAUUGUGUUAGAUGUUAGAUAGGAUAUACUCUAAGUCAAAUGUUAUGAAUUGUUUUAUGAACUUCCCUCGUGAAUGUCUUGCACUAGGUGUUAAUGACUGCCAGCAAUCCUUGUUACAAGAAAAAGAAACAAUUUGUUAGUAGAAAUUAUAGUAAUAUUAAUAACAAAUGCUAAAAUAAAAAUAAGAAAAAUAAUUAGAUUUAAAUUCGUAUCUAUAUUUUAAAAUUUCCUAAUUAUUCUAUAAGACACAAAAAUUAAACUAAUUUAGUACUGUUGCCUCCCUAGCAUUGACACCAACAACUUGACUGCCUCCGGACGUACUAACGUCUAGAGUAUGAAUACUGCUACUAAAAAUAUAGAAUUGAGGCAGUGUCCGCAAGUAUACGAGUCAAGUUGUAAUAUAAUUUUACAACGAAGUAGGUAAAUACUCCGAGGAUCGUACCUAAGGGACGUGAGUACUAAAUUAAUAUUAACCUAAACAUAAAUAGAUCUAAUUAAUACUAUAAAUAAAUUAUAGUACGACAAAGUAUAAAGUGAAAAAUAUUUGUUUUUGUAAGAAAAGAAAUAAACAUGCAUAAAAUAAUAAAAACAGAGAAUUAAUAUGUAAACUCAAUCAAAUCUAAGCAAGGGUGACUAGCUCACUUCGAUGGUCAUAACUAAUUCUUAUUUCGAGUUUUUACUCAAUUAACUAGUCGUUACCCUAGCAAGAUCUCUUGAUCUUCCACAAAACUAACAAAUCGAUAAUAACUACUUAUCUCUCUACCUCACAGUCCAGAUCGGAUUGGGGUAAGGGGUUCACGAAUAGGUAAUACCAAUUUUAGGUUAAUUCCCACCUAGAUGACUUCCUAGGAUUGUCAAGCCUAAGGUUUAAGUUCUUCAUAUCCCAAACAACUAAUUCGUUAAGAAACCUUACAUAGAAAUUAAUUAAUCACACUUCCACUCACGAAUCCCCCAUAAGAGGAUUAGUUCUUCAUGGAUCCCAUAAAUAAUAUAAACUUGAUAAAGCAAACAAACAUAAAAAAACAGAUCAAGAUUAAAAGUUUAAAAAGAAUCUUGAAUUGUAUUUGAAUGAAGUGCAGAAAUCCACAAAAAGUUGCAUUGAAUCCACAAGUAAGAUUCUCUGAAGAACAAUAAUGAAAAAUCAACUGAAAAUAAAUCCUAAGAACAAAAUAAAACUAAAACUGAAAACUAAACUGAAAGGAAAAUUCUAAGCUACAAAAAAGAUGAUCUCUCAAGUGUUUAAUGAGUCUAUUUAUAAUAUUAGGGUUGGCCGUCGUCCUUAGCCCUAGUUUGGUUGAUGUUUUUAUGUUAAAAUACAUUGUGUAGACCAAAACGCCCUCAGCUCAGUAAUGGUUCGCAACAGGGCUGGUGUCGUGACCACUACUGCCUAUGUCGCAACACUGAAGGUAGUUUACUUGGCUCUAACUAUGUCGCAACACCAAAUGUAGUAUGGCUAUUUUGGCAUUUUUUUAACUAUGUUGCAACAUUGAACUUUUGUGUUGCAACAUAGUGACUAGCCUAGAGUUCUCAUGCCUCUGAAUGGUGUCCUGCACUCACUAACUUUGUUUUUCUUUCCUUAGGCCUACUUCGACCUCUAAUGUCAUAAAAUCGACUCAAAUCACACUUUUUAUUAACUUUGAAACUAAAAUAUAAAAACAUAAUAAAACAUAAUAAUAUUGCUCAUAUUCAAGCUCCUUCAAGUAUGAAACUAUUUAAUUUGCUACAACGAAUUGUAGCAUAUCAAACCUCUCAAGCGCUCUUUCAAUAUUGAAAAUGCGCACAAUCAGCUUCUUUUUGUUUCAAAUAAUAUGGCAAAAAAUUAGUGUUCCACACUUUAACGAUAUUUGUAAAAUGUUCAACAUUACAAACAAUGCCUUUUGAAAAAGACCAACUUUUCUCAAUCAGUUCACCAAAUCCUAGAUGUUGUUGCCAGACAAAAAUAAAGUGAAAAGGGCAGUCACUUUUAUCACCACAAUCUCUUCCAAGUGAAGGUAGGAUGGAUCUGUGGUAGAGCCUAGUUUUUCUAGAUGUUGAACGGAUGAGUUCGAGAAUCCCAACAACCAACUUUCAUUAGCAAGACACCUAUAAAGUAUUUGAUGUAGUGCCCCUCUAGUCCAAGUGUAGGAAGGGCCUGAAAAACCAAAACCAUGUAACCCAAGUUCAAAUAUAGCAUUAUUAACUGAGAACUUACACCAUGGUUGCACCUUGAUCCUCCAGCCCGUUCAUCAAGAGAAGAGAUUGCAUUGAAGUCUCUGCCCAUAACCCAAGGUUUAUUAGAGGGUGCGCACAUAUUCAUAAGAUGCUGCCAAAAAAGCAUCCUACUUGCAUUUGGACUACCAUAGAUGGCAAUAAGCUAAAAUUCUAAGCUAGUGUCAAUAUCUUUGCAUUAAGUGUGGAUAUAUGACUGCCUUUGGACAUACUAACGUCCAGAGUGUGAAUACUACAAUAAAAUAUAUAUUAAUGAGGUGACAUCUGCAAGUAUACGAGUCCAGUUGUAAUAUAGUUACAGCAGAGUAAGUGAGCACUCCGAGAAUCGUACCCAAGAGAGGUGAGUGCUAGAUCAAUUUUAACCUAAACACAAUUAGAUCUAAUUAGUACUUUAAAUAAACUAUAUUACGAAUAAACAUAAAUAAAGGAUUUUUGUUUUUAUAAUUAAAGAACUAAAAAUAACAUAAAUAAAAAGAGUAUUCGAAAAACUAGAUUAUAAACUGGAUCAAAUGUAAACAUGGGUGAUUAGCUCAAUUUGGUAGUCAUAAUCAACUGUCGUCUCGGGCUUUCUUAUGCAACCAACUAGUCACUAUCCCAGCAAGAUCUUCCGGUCUUCCAUUCAAAUAACGAGUCGGUAAGAACUACUUAUCUUCUGACCUCACAAUCUAGACCGGUUCGAGCUAAGGUGUUCACGAAUAGGCCAUACCAAUUUUGGGUUAAUUUCCACCUAAAUGGCUUCCUAGGGUGGUCAAGCCUAGGGUUCAAGUUCUUCCUCUCCUAAACAGUUGAUCCACUAAGAAAACCCUACAUAACAAUUAAUUAAUCAUACAUCCACUAGCUAAUCCCUCAUAAGAGGAUUAGUUCCUCACAGGAUCACUAAACAUCAUAAACUCGGUACUGAAUAUAUGCAUAAAGAAUAAAACAAGAGUAAAGUUUAGAGAAUACUAUUUGUAUUUGAUAUAUGAAGUGUUGAAAUCCUCAAAUGUUUGAUUGCGUCUACAAAUUAAGUUCUUCGAAGAACACUAAUGAAAAGUUUCGAAACCAAUUUUUAAAACAAAAAUUUAGUUUCCACAUAAAAAUGAAAAUUGGAGUCGCCACCGAUCUUUUAUUGAGGUGUGAUCGGAUCACCUUGAAAAUGAUUUUGGUCUACGAGUUUCAAAAAAAAUGAGCUCGGGAGUCAAUUACGUAUGAGAAAGGGUUAGCACCCUCGUAACGCCCAAAAUUGGUACCUAAUUGAUCAUUUAAUGUCUUAAGGUCGAAUGAUAAAAAGAUUAGAAAGCAAUUCCCAUUUUCAAAAUUUUUAUUGAAAUUUAUUAUUUUGAAAACUAUAAAGUUUGGUCAUCUUGCUUCAAUGAAGAAAUCGAAACCUAGUAACUUAGGGUACGAUUCUUUGAAGUUUCGAUGACAACACAUGUAUUUGUUUUUAUUUAAAACCUCGUUUCGGGAUAACAAAAUGUCAUAUCCAAUGAGUUAGGACAUAACAUUUUGAAUUCCCGAGAUAAGCUUCAGUUUGAUAUUUUUACACUUUAAUUGAAGAAGAAAUACUCGAUUACUUAAAUUCAAUGAAGAAAAUUGAAGCCCAGUAAGUUAGGACACAAUCUUCUCGAGAAUCUUGGAUACUAAAUAUAUUGAAAAACUUAUGGAUAAAAACGGUUUCAAUAUUUUAAUAAAACAUAACCUUUUAAAUGAACGUAUUGCAAUUGAAUGAUAAUGUACAACGCAAAAGGAUAAUUCGAAAAUAAAAUAUACAUUAAUGAGCAAUGAAUAAUCAAUAAAUAAAUACAAACAAACAUAGCAACAAUAAUCUCACUUGUACAUUAUGCCAAUAUGAAUAUCAACAUUCAAAAGCUAAUAAAAAACGAGCCAAUUAAUGCAAAUGCAAACCAAAUGUACAAGUUUUGAAAUAACUAAAAAAACAAAUGGCAUGAAGGAAAUGGAAAUUGUAAAUCAAUAAAGUAUACGUACAAAAAUUUAAAAUAAAUAAUAUGCAAGAAAUUGAAAUAACCAAAAAUUGAGUUAAAAAAUAAAUACUAUGUGAGACAAUAAUAUUUAAACAAAUUUUAAAAUAAAUGUUGCACACGAGGAAAAUCAAAACAAGCACUAUACAAAAUAAUAUACAUAUAUUAAUCUAAUAAGUGAUACGUAUAAAGUGAAAACCCGAUAUAAAUAAUGAUAUAUGAAAUAAUAUGUAAAAGUUGAAAGAUACAAAAUAUAGAAGAAGGUAUUUUAAAGAAUGAAAUUAUAUACAUAUAAGUAGCUUAAAAAAACGUAUUUAAAGGGGAACUAAAAAAUCAUAGUUAUAAUAAUAUAAAAAUAACAAUAUAUUCAUAUAAUAAAAAAUAUAUAUAGAUCAUAUGCAUAUAAUAAUGAUAUUGUAUGAGAAUACUAUCAUAUAAUUCUUUAAAAUGUAAAAAUAUAAAAGAAAAUUUUAAAAAUAAAUACAUUAUAAAAUAAGAUUAUUAAAAAAAUACAUAUUAAUCAUAUUAAGCUUAUAUAAAAAUAUAUACAUAAAAAUAGUAUAUGAUAGAUAUAAAUAAUGAUAUGAUAAGUUUAAAAUUAUAGUACAUGAUAAAUUUCAAAUUAUGAUAUAUGAUAAACUUAAAUAAUAUUAAUGAUAAUUUAAAAUAAUAGUAUAUUAUAUAUUAAAAUAAUACUAAUGAUAAAUUUAAAACAAUGUUAAGCUUAGAUAUUAAAAUAAUACUAGAUUUUAAAAAAUAUGCCAAGAAUAUGAACUAAUUAGAUUUAGAAUUAAACUAAAUAAAAACUAAAUUAGAAUUGAAGCAUUAUUAAAAGAAGAAAAGGAAAAAAUAAAAUAAUAGAUCGAAGAUUAAAUUGGAAUUAAAACAAAAUUAAAAGGGCAACACACAGAAAUAAAAAUAGAAGAAAGGCUAAAUUUGUAAUCGAUUCAAAAUUGUGAGACUAAAUAGCAAUUAAACGUACAAAUUCGGGCAUUCAAAUCCAAUUAAUGGAAACGACACAGUUCAACCAGGGAUCUAAAUGGAAUAUGUAUCAAAUAUGCGGUAACAAUUUAAAAAAAUGAAGAAUAACUGAAUUGAAAUGAUAGCCAAUGCAGAGGGGCUUAUUGUGCAAAAAGACCGUUGAACAAAAUGCGCGGAUCCUCCCAGGGCCGGAUCGGGUCGCACACGGUUUGAGCAAAUACGACGCCGUUUUGGGGGCCACUGAUUCAGGCCCCAAAAGACGACGUUUAAAUGCCCUAUAAGAACUAAUUUCAAAACCCCAAAAUCAUUUCAGCCGCAUGACGCAUAUUUAGGCACUUUUGUCUCUCAACCGCUGCGCCACCUCAACAAAUUCGAAGUCCCAUCUAGCUCCGUUUUGGACGGAACAAAUAGGGCUCUGUCAUCGCCUCCGCGCAGGUAAGUAUAUCUCCAUUUUAUUUCUUUUUUUUUUAUUUGCAAAGAGAAAAACAAAAGAAAACAAAGAAGAAAAAAAGAAAUCGAAAAAAUCACCUUCGUCUUAUUCAAUUUCUCUGUAUUUUUUAUUUCAUGCGUAAUCAAAAAAAUAUCCCCCUUUACAAAAACGAACCGGCUUUUUAUAGCCAAAAUACUAUGAAUUUACAGCAAAAAUAAAAUACAAAAAUCUCUUCUAUUAUUUGUUGGCCCUUUUCUGUUAUAUCUUUUAGUGCGUUUUCUUGCUGGUUUGUUGUGUUUGUUAUAGGUGCGAGGCCGUUGUGCUGGCGUGGCGACGCACAAGGGAUGGGUGGCGCGUGUGGAUGCUUGGGGGAGGAGCGACACGGGAACAGCCUGCUAAGUUAGGGUUUUUUGAUUAGGGUUAAAUUUGGUAUUGGGCUCCAUUAGGUUUAGCAAUUGGGCUAGGUAUUUGGGUUAAGUAUUUGGGCUAGGAUAACUUUGAAUUUGGGUUUGUAGUGGGUCUGGUAUACAAUUGGGCUUUGUGAUUAAUUGGACUAUGAACUUUUUAUUAAUUAUUGGUUUUAUUUAUUUUAAAUUUGGUUUUUAUUUUUGAUUUGGGCCCGGGCAAAAUGGGCCUAUUACAAAAAAAAAUUAAAAAGAUGUCUAAACCCUAAGAGAAAGAAAAAAUAAAUUGAAGACUAAAUUCUACAAAGGAAACUAAUAAUAUCAAAAGUUGUCCUUUAACAAGUGUUUAAGAGCCUAUUUAUAGAGUUAAGGUUGUCGUCAUCCUCAACCCUAGGUUAGCUAACGCUCUCGUAUUUAACUUUUGAUUGUGCGAACCAAAACGCCCCUGGCUCAUAAGUGUUUCCCAUACAAGAUUGAUGUCGCGACACCUUAAUGCCUAUGUCACGACAUCAAAGACAGUAUGCUCAUAUUCAGGGUAUCUUCAGGGGUGUGUCGCAACAUCCUUAGACCGUGUCGCGACACUGAAGGCAGACUUGGAAUUCUUCUAUUCUGCUCCGUUUGUUGCGACAUCAAACUCUUCGUGCUGCAACACAAUGACCAGUAUCGAGUUAGCACGCCUUCUAAUGGUGUCCUGCACACUCACAAAGUAUAUUAGCUCACCCUUAGGUCUUAUUCGGCCCCUAAGGUCAAUAAAAGACUCAAAUUACAUUUUUAUUGAAUGUAAAUGAAAUUAUGAAAACUUGACUAAAACAUAACAAAAUGCUUGUAUUCAAGCUCCUCAAAUGCGAAAACUAGUUUAAUCUGCUACACUGAAUUAUGACAGAUCAAUAUACUAAUUCGAUAUGGAAAUUACAUCUAUCAUGAUGUUUUGUCUCCAAAGAAUCCAUAUUCCACCCGAGAAACCAUGUGUUUCAACUUUGUAAGAAUUGAUCAUAACCAAUCUUUUUUAACAAUUCCAUUGGCCUUUAUUCCAAUUAUACGAGUCUCCAUUCGGACAAGGAUUCUCGGUUUAUGCUUGGACACAAACAUCUUUAAAAAGUGAUUGAACCUGUUACUCGUUGCACCUUGACGAUUCCAAAACAAUAUAUUCAUCAUAGUAAAAUAAAGAAAAAAGAGAAGAAGAAUCAAACUCAUAAAUUACUGUCAGGAGAGUCGUUUUCUUCCACAUAAUUCUCAGCCACCAUAUCCCCAGCCACUAUCAUUGGUUGCUCAAUCUCCUCAUUUGCCCCAGAACUUGUAGAAGGAAGCAAACCAUUCAGGGACCCUCCAUUAGGAUUAUCCAUUUGUGACGUGUGCUCAUGGAGUUUUCUGGAUAGAGAAGCAACCCAUUCUGAAAGGAGAUGCUUAGGUGCAUUUUUACGUUCCACCUUUUUCCUUACUUUAUGACCCUUUUUUGUAAUUUCUUUCAUGCUGGUAGUCUUGAAUUUACUUUGGAUUCCUAUAUCUUUUCUUACAUGUUGACCAACUCGAUGAAUAGUCGAUUUCAAGCCUUCAUCAAUUACAAUUACUGCUUGGUGAUUUUCCUUGUCAAGUGUCGUUAGCUGAUUAAUCACCAUUAAUUCUCAUGUUCCCAUAUCUUCUAACCCCCGCUUCCUUUGUAAUAAUCGUCGUUUGCAUGGAAGAAACUGUUUGGUUUGUUUCCUUUUUUGGACUUUAUAUUGCCAUUAUUGCAGCUCACUCAAGACAGUAAAACAUUGAAUUGUAGGAGUUCCCUUAAUAUGACUCGUAGGUCUUCCACCAUUCCUUCCGGCCGCUGUCAGGUUCCUGCUCCGACCACUAGUUACUUGCAUCCAAGGUUCAUAGAGUCCUUGAUCAUUGGAUCUAUUUUCUUUAUUCCACAUCAGAUUCACCGAUGUGUGAUUCAUCGUCUCUUCCAUAGCAGUUGACAGGGUAUCUGUUUUCUUUUCACUGGGAUUCAGUUUUCAAUUUUCUUUGAUGUGGCCAACCCUACUGCAGUCAUAACAAAUUGAUGGAAGACCCUCACAAACUACUGCUUGUUUUUUCCUGUCGAUCCCCAAGAACGAAACAAGAGGUUUUGAUAGGUCAACCACCACAGCAAUCCUCGCAAACUUACCUCUCUUCCCAUCAGUGGUAUUGUAGUCCGCCUUAACGACUCCACCACUGACUUCAGCCAAUGCGAGCAUAAGACCCUUUAUGUAAUAACGAUAGUAAAGCCCCGGUAAUCAUAUCCAUGCUAUAAUCUUCGAUAGAUGAGCCUCCUCUGUAGAGAAUUCGCGGCUCCAAGGUUGCACCUCCAAGUAAUGGUCGUAAACCAUCCAAAGGCCACCCAUAAGAACUCUAUUGUAGUCAUUCUAGCUAGCAAGUUUAACAAGAAAGUAAUUAUUAUGAAGAUCAACAAUCUUGUAGUCACUUGUUAACCCCCAGAGGCUUUCAAUUCUAUUAGAUAGUGCCCUAUAUCUGAUUGGUCUUCCGAGCAUGCGUACGAUCACCGUUUGUUUCAUGCUUUUGUUGAUCAAAUUAUGAACUCUUUCAGAGAAGUAGAUUUGAGGGUAUGGGGCAUCUAAAGAUAUUUUAACAUCACCCUCAAGAAAUGUAAUCUCCUUUUCAUCAUCCAAGGGGAGAUGCACAUCCUCAUCUUUUUCCUUCAUUCCCAUUGCCCAUUAACAUCUCUUUAAAGGAAACCUUACGUGUUUCGGGUUCCUUCAUCACCUGAUCAUCAACAUCCACCAGAUCGAAAUCUUUGUUUUUUACUUUCUUAGUAGCUCGUAGCAGCUCCGUCGGUAGCGGAGAGCCUGAGCGUUCAUUGCUAGCGAGAGCGUCCAGAGAGAGUUCCAUUUGUACUAUGCCUACUAAAAUGUAUAACGUAGUACUUUUGAUUUGUAAGAGAUAUAAUUCUAUUGAAAAAGUUAAUCAUCAUAUUUAACUUUAAAAAAAAAAAGAAACAAAGGUCAGAUUGAAAAAAUUAUCAUCAUAUCAAAUUUAACGUUAUGCCCAGAAAAAUAAAUAAAAAAAUACAAGUAAAAUUUUGAUCUGUUAAACCUAAAAUAAGAAUAAUGAAUAGGCCUGGUAUGAUCAAUCUAUUAAAAAGGAAACAAAAAUGUGAACUGUGGGCUGGGCCUAUUUUCACUGAAAUAGGCAGUCUGCAAUGUGGUGGGUAAGGCUUUCUUUUUUGUCAUUGUAAAAACAAUAAAUUUAUUUAUAUUUGAUACAAAAUUACAUUUUGUAUAUUAUUUUAUAUUAGUCUUCCCCCUAAAAACAAAGUUAAUCUUUCAACUUAUACCUUAGCCUAAACAAGUUGUUAACCUUUCACUUGAAAAUAAAAGCUUAUUAGGGUACCAAUCAAAUAAAUAAGAAAAAAAGUAUAGGGACUUAUGUAAUAAUUCAAUUUUUUUUUAAACAUUUGGCGAACAUAUAUAAUUACAGAUGGCAGAAUAGAUAUAAUAGAUAAAUAAAUAAGACAGAUGUUGAACCUUAAAGAUCCAAGAUGAUGUGUGGGCAUAGAAGACAAGUUCUGUCUAAAAAUUUUGAAAUGUGGGGUUUGCUUGCCCCAUUCAAGGUUGAACACAACCACUUUACAUGUGACCAUCAAUUCCAUAUUCGGCCUAUUUUUCUAAUUUGACUUCUCCUUUUUACUUAUCCUUAACAAACAUUCUUUUUGGUAAUUAGACUUCCCCCCUCCACAUGCACCAACCAUCUUAUAUUAUAUUAUAUUAUAUUAUUCAUAAUUCCAAAUUUCAAUAUUUAUAACCUUGUGAAAAAUAUCUUCUUCUUCUUUUCCUUUUUAAAUGAAAAACCAAUCUACUUGGAUUUCAGAAUCAACUAUGCAGAAAUAAAUCUAACGUAAAGCAAAAAUAGGGUUUGCAUUUUGCAGAGGUGAGGCCAAUUUGACGGUCAAUAUUCAAGUAUGCGUGUGCGUUUCAGACAUUGUCGAUUUGCCCAAAAAGCCUAAUGCGACAAAUUAUUGCUCUGCUAUGUGCCUGAACCGCAAGGACAACCACAAAUUGUUAAUUUUCCAAGUAUUUGGACCAUUAGAUUUUUCACUCUUAAUUGAAUUGAGGAUUUCCAUUUUUUUUUAAAGAUUAAAUCAUGAAUAGUUACUUAAUUUACUACUAACUCCCCAAGGCAUUAAAAAAAAUAUUCUCUUUCAUCUUAAGUUGUCUAGGAGUUGUGAAAUUGAGAGAAAUGAAAAAAAGAAAACUGAGGCAGAUUCAGAGUCCAGAGUCUCAACAGGUAAAGCAAACUCCAGUUUCAUAAACAUUAAAAAAGAAAAGGUACCUACCAAUGCUGCAUUAUGUAAGCAAAACACGUACUUCCUAUAUCCUUACAUUACAUCAGGGAAGGAAAGAAAUAUCAGUAAUUAAAUCUAAAGGUGCUGAACUCAUCAUAUAUCUGAUAAAAAUGUUUCACCUAGUGGGAUGAUGAAGACCAAGAAACUGGGGGAGGUCAACAAGGGGAUGAUAUGUGAAGAAAGUUGUAACUCUAAAACAGAAAUGUUUUACUAAUAUAGAACUGAAGGUGAAAGGAAAAGUUAAAGAACAUGAAAAAAAUUAUCAAAAUCAAAAGCAACUAAGAACAUAGGAUGAUCCCGUUCUUACACCAUCCAUUGAAGACAGACAAAGGAGACAAACAAAGAAAAGCAAAAUUUUUUUAAAAAAAAAAGAAUUUUUGACUAGGCGAAACGAAGACCAUGUAAGCGUCACCAUCAUCGUGAUACGUUUCAUUCAUUGGUGCAUGAUCUUGACCGUCAAUGGGAAUCAGGGUUUCUUUUCCUUUUCUUUUUUCUUCUUUAUUCUUUGAUGUUCUUUUUUUUUUUUAUCUUGUGAAGUCAUGGACAAGGCUUGUUGGCCUGUCUGUGACGUUGAGUCUCCAAGAAAGGUAGGGGAUCCCAGUAUCAGAAUCUCGAUCAGUAUCUUCAAUGAACCUGAAUUCAUUAAGAGGCGAGAAACAUGGCAUUUUUUGGUUCUGAUGAACCCAUGAAUUGUUGUGGUGAUACUGAUAGCCAUGGUGUUGCUGUUCCAGCAUUGAAGCUGUUGCACUCGAUGAGUUGUUUGCAUUUGCUGCUGUAGCUCUUCUUUCUUCUUUUUUGAAUCGAAUCCCGCAGGCAUUGCAAAGUGACUGCAAUUAACAGAAACAAGGAUACAAGGUUGUUUGUUUUUUUUAUCCCGAAGAAACAAUGGAGAGAUUGGGAUUUGGAAAUUUUGGUAUACCUUUGGACCCCUCGGCCCGUUCCUCCAAAGUGGGGUUGAAGUAGUGUCGCAGUUGGCGCAGCGGCGAGCUAAUAGAGGAUCGUUGCCUGAGCCGUUACUGCUAUUCCCAUUGCUUCCACGGCUAGCUUUGGUGGUUUGGUGUGAAUAAGGUGCGCUCUUGUUCUGCAACAUGUCCCAGCAAUAGUUGGAAAUGCAAGGGUUACUACGUUCAUGCCGGAUAUGCUUGUCGUCGUCUUCACAAAGACGAGUGGAUGGAGUUCCCAAAGAGAGAGUGCAAUCGACGGAAGAAGAUGAAGAGGGCAUGAAAGGGUACAUGUUAGUUUCAUCGCAAGAUCGGUGGUUCGGCAUGGAAAAUAGCCACGAGGAGUUGCUUUGGCUAUGAUACAGGCCACAUGAACAUGGACCCACCAUGUUUCCCUGAGAGCUACUGCACCUGUGCAUUGUUUUCUCAAUCGGUUUCUCUAUGAAUAUGUGUCGAAGGCCUAACUAUACCCACUGUCACCUCAAUUUCAGCACUAUGGGAUGACCACGAAGAUCGAAUGGGGGCAGAUUCAGAAUGAUCAAAAAACCAACCAACAAUCGCCAACUGAUCAGUGAGAACAAAAUGAAAAACGAAGAAACAAAGGGAUUGAAGAUGAAUAGAAAAAGAACAAGCUAAUGCAAUUGAAAAUAGAAAGAAUUUGAUGGUGGGAGUGUAUAGUUAAAGGGCAAUGGCAGGGUAGUACGAGCCAAAUAGUAAAACUGAGAGCCAAGUGCAAUAAUAUAGCGUUUGAAUAAUAAGUUGGGAGGAAAGAGAGAGAUAGGGGGGGACUGAGAAGAGUUGUUGUCUGGUAGCUUUAUAAGCUAAUAAAAUGGCGAAAUACCAGUCAGCACCUGCAGUCCACGUUGUCGUCUAAUGCAAAUGGAGAGAUGUACAUGCUUGUAUAGCAAGAGAGACAUAAAGAUACAGACAGAGAGGGUCCCAGGUUGCAUGUUACAGAUAGAGAAAUAAACUUUUAGAAAACCUCCCCAAAAAAAAACACAAUAAACUAUGCAUAAAUAUAGUUAAAAUACUACUAGUAUACUUGUACUCUUAAAUAUUAAGUAAAGAGAAAAAAGAAAAAUAAGUCGGCCAGUCAGAGUCUGGGUCAGGGUGGAGGGGAUAGUAUAGAGAAAUAACUAAUAAGGCUAUACUAUUUGCAAGUUGAGGACUUGGUGGUGUCGUGGGCAAUGGAAUUUAUACUCCAAAACUGAAGGGGAAAAGGGAGGUGGGGGAGGGGGGGCGCUCGUAACAAAGCAAAGCAAUGGGUUGGUCAUUGGGUAGUCAAAAGAGGGCCACGUGACUAGCGGGAACAGUCUUCCAUGGAUCUGCCUUCUCCGAUCACGAGGCCCUAUUACUCUCAAACCCAAUACAUCAAAACCUCUGUCCGUAUCCGUAUCUCUGCCCCCUCUCCUCUGUCAUUGCCAGCCUCCCAAGGAAAAUGGAACAUUUCCACCCCUCACCCCCCCCCCACGCCCCUUCUCUCUGCGGCGUUUUUCCCACGCUCCAGUCCCCACUGCCGAAGGGUAUUAUUCACUCCCAGGAUUUUAUACCUUUCCUUCGUGCUCUCAGAUAAUAAAACCACCAUCGUUUUGAUUAUAGUUUGAAAGAAAAAUUAGUGUCUGAAGUUUAAAAUUGUUGUUUUCCAAGUUGGAUAGAGAAUAAAGACAUAUUUUGUAAUUUCCCAUAAACAUUGAUCACUUAGUAACACUUGUUUAUUUAAAUUUUUUGUUGGUUUGUGAUAUCUGAAAGGUUUUAACUUUAACUAUGUCUUCAAUGAUCAGGUAUACAGGAAGGAGAUAGUGAUUGUCACGCACUGGUUUUGGCAGUGGGGGAAGGAUAAAUUAAGCUGAUAAAUUUAGUUAUAAGUGUAUUCAGCAGAGCUAUGAACACUGCUAUUAUAACAACGGCGACUCCGUUAGUUGUUAUAGUCAUAGGCAAGUCCAAUCCAUUCGUCCCUUCCAAAAAAAAAAGAUAAUCAAGUUUUCAAGGUUACUAUGAUAAGAACCAAGCCGUACCCUGGAAUCACGUGAACCUCUCUCAAAAAACCAAAGCCAAUAUCGUCAUGAUAAUCAUCUCUUCAUGUUCCGUAUCUAAAACCCAUCACCACCACCCCGAAAAAGCCUUUUGGUUUCUAGUAUUUUGUCUUAGCAAAUAGUAAAAUCCCCAACACUGGAAACAAGGCUAAAGGGGAAAUGAAAUGAAAUAAAUUAAAUUAAAAAUAAAGGUAUCAAAAUGAGAUACUCUGCAAUCAUCAAAGCAACAAACAUCUCUGUUUCUACUUAGCUUACCAAGAGAGAAAGAAAAGAAAGAUGUUUGAGUCAAAGAUGGGAAAUCACAAAAAGAAAAAGGUCAAAAAAUUUGAGAAAUUAAGAAACCCCCCCCCAAAAAAAAGGGCACACUCAGAAAUGACCCCACAUCAUCAUGGCUAAACCCCAAACCAAAAUAAAAAACCCAAAAUAAUAUUCAAUUGAUCUCAUGAAGAAUAUGAUGGAAAGAUUCAAAAAGAUAUGAAGAGAGAGAGAGAAGGAGAGGAAAAAAAAAAGAAUCAGAUCGUCUAGAGAUUGGUGAGGGGCCUUACUUAGUUCGACAAACGGGACGACCACCGCUUUCCAAAAGAUGCUCUUCUCACCGCUUUGUAAACCACGAAAACACACACAAAAAAAACCCUGUGAGUAGCCCGAGAUAGUGUCGCCAUUUCCAAUCAUCAUUUUCCGCCACGCGACCCACAAAUGAUCGAUGCGAGCGUGGAGAACACGCCGAGGAGAGGAGAGUGGGGGAGGAGCUCAAAUGCCCAUAAAAUUCGAGGAGAUCUUUUUUAAUGGGAAACUCUGGGAUUUGCUUAAUCAUCUCAAACCCACAAAACCCAUCGAAGAUGAUUUAAUGUUUUAGAUGGCAUUUUUAUUUUUUCGUGCUCCCGAAUUGAAUCAUGAUGCUAUGUGACUCGUUGGGGUGGGGUCCACUAAUUUUAGGGUUUAGGAUAGUUUUUAUGGUUUUUCCAAGGGAAAUCAAAGCAGAUCGUCUCAGGGGUUUUAUCAAUUCUCAAGGUGCCACGAGGGUACCGUGAGGGUGUAGAUUUUGUUUUAUUUUAAUUUUAAAAAUGUAAAAAAAUUGUAGAGUUGGGUUGGGUUGGGUUUUGCAUGCCAUGCAGGGCAUGCAAAAAUGUGAUAAACAAGGAAAGACCCUUGCAACAGGCUUUUAAAUAAUGAGAGACCGCAUUAAUUGAACAUUCCUCAAAAGCAACGAGAAUACAACUGGAAUGUUUCUUGGGAGAUUGAGUUUUUUUUUUUAUGAAGGAUGGGAAAAGAAAAAGGUAAGUUGAGAAAAGGAGUGUUUGCUUGAAGAAGAAGAAGAAGAAAAAAAAAACAAAGGAUCCGACGACCCAACGGACCAACAUUUAGAAAAAGGAGUGCUUGUUUGAAAAACAAAUAUAUGAAAGAUAAGUUGUUGUCAGUAUCAACGGGCAUCUAAUCUAAGGGUCACUGUAACCUCUAAUUGUCGCCUCCAAGGAAGUCUAAUCACUAUCUUCUUAAACCUUACGUUCAAAUUUUGCACCUUUUUCUUUUCUUUCUUUGGUCUUUUGAGUUUGUCCUAAGGAUUAAACUCCUUGCACUUGUGCUUAUCUGAAUUUCAUUUAUUUAAAUAUACCAACUUAUACAUGGUUACAUCAAAUAUAAAUCCUAAAACCAAACCCAAAAUAAUUAAUUAAAAAAAAGAUGGUUAGAAAAAGAAAUGGAUGAAUGCCUUAGAAGGGUUAGGUAUCAUUGGACUGGAUCUAGUCUUCCUUGACUGUCAUUUGUAUGCAUGUCCUUUACGUAAACCCUUCCUUUUUUUUAUUUUUCCCUUCUUUAAAUACUUUGAAUCUCUAUCUAUAACCCUUUUUUCCCUGCAACAAAACACAAAUUUCCAAACCCAAACAUUUAUAUUUUAAAUGCUUAAAGCUUACGAUAUGGACACUCUUUUCUUCUUUUUUUUCAUCCGCCAUUUUCUUUUAUGAUACUAAAAUAUUGAAUCAACAGUAAGUUUUUUUUCUUUUUGUGGCAGUAAAUUCCAUUCAGUUGUACCCUAUAAGGAUCCUAUAUUUAUUGAAUAUAAUUUGUUGACUGGUCUUUUCCCAUAUCUUGUCUGCUGCAUCUUUAUUCCUUCUGGCGAAGGAAAAAGGUUGAUGAUCUGAUGGCAGAAAGCUUUGCGAUUUUAAGUUGUUUAUAUUGCACCUUCUACCUUACCUAUUGUCCUAUUGGUCUUUAGCAAUGUAAAGCGUGAUAAACGUCAGCCUUUAUAUAUAUAUUAUAUAUAUAAGACGUAUUAGGAGAUUAUUUUUCUUUUUUCACGAAAAAUGACAAUUGAUCAUCAUUCAGAUUCCAGUUUUGAAUUCAGGGAAAAACUGCACUUCUUCUUCCAAAUAUCUGUUGGAAGAUACGCUUUCUUUAACUAAUAUUUAUAUAUAUAUAUCAACUAUGAAAUUAUAUAAAUCUCUAUAUGCAUAUGAAAUACAAUUUUUUAAGAGUUAAUGAAAUUUAAUGUAUUAUUAAUAAAAGCACAUGCUAAUACUUUCAGAUUUGACACAUGAAUUUUAAAUUUGUGCAAUCAUACACAUUAAAUUUUUAUUUUGAUUCAAAUAUAUAUAUAAAUCUUUUAUUUUAAUUCAGUUAUAUAUAUUAUAAAAAUAAAUACAUUUAACUUAGUUUUAUAUUAGAUAAAUAUAAUUAUUUGUGUAUGUAAUAUAUAACAUGAAAUAAUAUUAUAUCAAUAAUAAUGUUAAUAGUUUAUAAAAAUCGAAUUAAAUCAAAAUGUUAUAUAUAAAAUUACACAUUAAUUAAAUCAAAAUUAAUGGGAUGAUGGACUAUUAAUACUAAUUUUCUAACUAUAUAAAAAUAAACUAAUUAACACAAAGUCACAAUCUCAUAUCCAAUCCUCUUGAUUAAGUAGUUGAAUAGGGUAAAGCAAAAGAUGGUGAAGUUAGGUAUUGGAAACCAAUCUUAGCCAUUGGAAAUGAAAUUAUGUCGAUAUCGGAAAACCCACAAAGUUGAGGAUCUCAUUUUCAACUGAUAAUGAUAAAAAAUCAAAAGACAAUAUGAAGAAAGUUGUAAUUUUGUCAGAAAAAGAGAAGUCCUAUUAUGAAUCAGAAGAGUGGAGCUUCGGGAAUCAGUCAGAGGUAGGUGUAUAGAUAUAUAUAUAUUUGCUGGUGCUGGCAACAGUAUUGUUCCGGAGAUCUUUUUGACGCUUAAGAAACUUUGUCAAUUGGAACUUACUUGACUGUUCUUCUUUGUCAAAAGAAUAAUUAUUAUCAAUAUAUAUAAAUAAAAGGAGUAAGAGUUUAAUGGAAGCUGAUGAAGUGAACAGCUAGUUCAUAAAUCAUGAGAUUCCAGAUCUGUGCCUAGGAUAGCUAAAUUAGGAGCUUCCUCGAAAGCUUAAUAUUUCCCCUGCUCGUUAUAGCUAUCCUUUAUCGUACACAUAAUGAUAUAAUUAAGAAUCAUUCUAUACAAAUCUCAACAAAUUUGUAGUAAAAUUAUGGAAAAAGGAAAAACAAGUACACACUUGGUAGUAGCAUGUUAAAAUAGAUAAAUAAAAUCAACUACACUUUCAAAGUUAAGAACAGAGUUAACUUGAAUAAGUAGUAGCAUGUUUCACUUAAUUUCUCUUUUAAAAAAAUGACUCUUGUUUUCAGAAUGAUAGUGGUCCAAAACUUUGAAAAUAAUUAUGUUAAGGAUAGUUAUGUUCAAAAUAGAGCUUCAAUUUAGAACGGUUGUCAUUCAGUGUAUUCGUCAUUUGAGAAUAACUAAUGUUCAGAACAAUUCUUGUUUAAAAUAAUUGUACUUCAAGGACAAGUAUGCUCAGAAUAACUAUUGUUUAGAACAUGUUUUUUUUAGAAAAUUUGUAUUUUUUUUUCUAGAAGAACCAUCAUUUGGAGCAAGCACUUUCAAGAAAAGUCUCACCAUAGAACAACUCUUGUUCAAAAUAACCUCUACUAAAAACAACUAUGUUGAGAAUAAUUCACGUUCAAAAUAACCCUUAUCUAGAAACAAUUUUCUUUCAAGAACAACUCUUCUUUUAAGAAUAGCUUGCAUUUCAAGAGAUGUUGAGUAGAAAAUAUGUCACAAAAUAUUGCUUCACCAAGUAAAAGAAAUGGAAAUAAUCUCGGAAUAUGAUGAGAUUCUUAGUUUGUAUCACUUUUGGGAUGUUUCAAAGAAUUUAAUUUGGUAAAUCAAAUAUAGAGAUAGUUUUAUAAACCUUAAACCCUUAAUCUAUGCUUUUAUGAGUGAGUAAAAGUCAAUUAAAAUUGACUUAAUCGUCCAAAUAUAUUCGAUUAAAUCAAUUUUUCAAUUUAAAUGUGUUGCCCUAUUAAAUUUAUAUAUAUUUUAAAUAUUUAUACUUGAAUUUAAAUUCAAAGAUAUUAACCAAACCUAAAAUAUUAUAUACCAACCCAAAUUUAUAAACAUUAAAUAAAUUUUAUUUUAAAAAAUUGGAUCUUUCUUUGUUUAGGAAUUCGAUUUGAUAUAACUUGAUGUUUGAAUAUUUGUACUAAAUAUUGACUUGGUAUGAUUGUAUGACUUUGGCACUUUUAAAAUUUUAAGAAUAUUAUUUUAUUAAUAUAUUUUAGCGUAAUAUUUGGUGCACUAUCAAUGAAGUUCUUAGACUUUAAAAGCAGUAUCAAGAGGUUGACAAGUGUCCUAUAAGAUAUAGUAAAAUAUUUAUAAAAAAACAUGACAAUUUUUUUAUAUAGCUUGUGGAAUAAAAAAAUACACUACUGGUGUAGUUAAACUCCACAAGCAUAGUUGAAAUUGUGACAAUAGUCUCAUUUCUUUAUAUAUAAAAAUAUAUUUAUUUAUUUUAGGCUUGAGCUCAUAUCGAUUUUAAGCUCGUGUUAUUUUAGGCUCGAGCUUUCUUAGGCUUGAGUUGUCACAGGGUCAAAUUUUUUCAAGUUCAUACCAUUGUGAGCUUUAAUCGAUAUGGGAGGGCUUUCAACUUUGGGUAUGUUUUGCUAGCUCAAUCCACGGUGUGAACCACCAUAAUUAGUCAUUUCAACUUUUGUGUUGUAACACAUACCAACCAGGCAUAAGAAAUGAAAAUUGCAUUGAGUCUGGAAAGCAUACAAAAUUAAAAUGAUUGAAGCAAAAAUCCAUUAAUAAAUAAAGCAAUUAUAUACAAAGAAACACCUUUUUUAAAGUACUUAAGUUAUUUGAACAAGCAGAAUGAAGGUUAGUGUAACACCUCGUACUCGACUCGAUCGCCAGGUCUGAGCUACGAGAUGCCACAUUCGUUUUCGAAGCAACUACAAUCAUUUAUAUUCAAUUUGAGAACAUUAAAACAUUUAAAUACAAGUAUCAAAUGUGUAUAAUAGGAUAUAAAAUCAUUUUGGGUAUUAAUUGAGCUUACAAAAGCUCUUUUGCUAACCCGAGGUCAGAUUAAUUCCAAAUUGUAAAGUUUACAAAAUCUUAGGUCAACGUUGCGACUACGAGAGCUCCACGUCAUGACACAACAUACUAACUUGGCCCUCGUUACGACGUUGAGGGACCGACGUCGCGACGUGACCCUUGUUCUUCUACAAGUUAAUUCUAUAGAUUGCCCAACAAGCAUUUAUAGCAUACAUGAAUACCUUAAAGGCUUCAAUUAAUCAUUUACCAUAAUUUCAACCUGUUAAAAACCAUUUACCAAGAAAUCAACACAAUUUACAUGCAUAAUUACUAACCAUUUUGACUAUUUACAAUACAAAUUCUCAAAAAUGACAAUUCAAAACAUUUGAAACAAGUAAAAUCUAGGUACAUGCCAUUUGACCAAAACUAAAUAAGCUAUACAAACUUAGUUGAGUCGAAAACGGAGGUCCGAAUGCUGACUUCACUUUCCUGGGGCUUUAAGAAUACCUGAACCUAUGCACAAACAAACAAAUCGUACGCUGAGUAAAAGGGUUCAAUAGUACAUUUAUGAUUCAAGAUAUAUAUACCAAGGCAUUAUCAAUAUGUUUUAAGAUAAGACAUGGGUAUAUACAUCUAAUAUUCAAUCAAUUCAUGUUCCAAAAUGUCAAGCGAUUCCAACUGUGGACUUGUACAGGUAACAUGCUUAUAUCAAUAUCAAACAAUCUAUUCAACAGUGUAACUUAUAUGACCAACUCCAACUUAUUUAGCAAUUAACAAUUAUUCAAUACAUAUUAAUUUCCAUAUCAUUCAAUAACCAAGCAUUCAUUAAUGCAUCUUUACAAAUUAUCAAUAACAUUAUAUCUUUCAUAUUUCAUGGCAUUCAUUUCUUUUACUUUGAUUUCAUACCAUUCAGCUCAUUUCUAGAGUCUAUCUGUCACACCUAAUUUUUAAUAGAGGUCCGAAAUUAAGAAAAGAGUUGGGUGUUAAUUGAAAGAAAUCGUAGGUCUGGCAACCUCUACUGUAAAAUCUGAAAAUUUUAGUAGUUGAAUGGAAAAUAGUUGAGUUUUAAUUUUAGCUCAGUUACAUUGGAAUUGACUGGUUAUUGAGUGGGAAACAUAAUGAUUUCAGUCAUUGGUUUUGAUGGGUUUUUAGGUGACCAUGCGUGUAAGAUUAUAUAUAGAUAAAAAGUGUUAUUUCGAGGGGGAAUUCUUCUCGAUUCUGUUUCAUUUUCUUCUUUUAUUCAUCUUUUUAUUUAGUUGUUCCGAAAAAGAGAAAAUUCAAGGAAAGCUCUGCAUGGAACAAUGAACAAGAGGAUUGAGUCUGAAAAGAUAAUAAUAUAAUGAACUAGUAAGCUUCUUAAUCUUUCUGUACGUAUGGAUUUGAGAAAAAAGAGAAGUUAGGGGGUUUCUAUAAAUUUUGAAAGGUUUCUGCAAGUUUCUAGAAUCUAGAUUUUGAAACAUGAAGUCAUUCAAUUUAACUGGUAUAUUUGGUUGUCAUGCUUAGCUAACCAGGAUGGAGGAGACUCUGGUUGUUGGAAAAAGCUAAGCUGGCAGAGAGGAAAGACGAUAGGUGAGUUUCUGUACUCCACUAUUUGGGUGUUGUUCUAGUUGUUGUGCUACUUGUAUGUUCUGCACUGAGUUCAGUUUGAGUUCUUUGGCCAUAUAUGAUCUUUGUUGAUUGGAAAGGUUAUGCAUGCAUAUGGUUGUGCAAUUAUAUGAAUGUCUACAAGUAUGUUAUCUGAAUGUAUGAUAUGGAUAUGUAUUGAUGAAUUGAUAUGUGGCAUACUCCGUGUUGUAAUAAUGAACGUAAUGUUGUGCGUGAAAUGUAUAUUUAUAAAAUGUAGAGUAUGGAAGGAAUGAUUUGGCAGGUUAGUUGAAGAUAGGAAAAUCAAUGUAAUGAAAGAAUAGAUGAAUUGAAUGCGAAUUAGAGUCACCGAAAUAUGAAAUGGCCCGGCGAUCCGGGUGAACACUUAGGUGUUCGAACUAAAAAGGAGGACUUGAGGAAAUUUGGAUGGAUAAAUUGUCUACUGGCUCUAUGGAGUGACAUCAUGUAAAUGAUCUACUAGCUCUACGGAGCAACACCAUGAAAAUGGUCUACUGACUCUUCAGAGUCAAAAGUCCACGUCUAGCUAUGGCAUGAUCCAGUUGAGGAUAAGUUCACCUUUAUGGCAAAAUGAAGUAUGCUAAGACAGGAAACAAGGAAGCCAUUAGGGCAUAUAUGUGGAAAAAAGGAUUUCCCUUUAGAGUAUUUGCAAAUACAUAUCCGCCAUUUGGAGUCCGCCAAGGAUUAUCUAUUCUGGGAAAAUCUACUAAAGACUCUGUUGAAAGAGAGUCUUUUAGGACUACCAGAUAAAAUGGAAGGGUUCGCCAAUGGCUAUAUUAAAUAGAAGGUUUGUUUGGGACUACCUGAUGAUGGGAAAAUCCAUUAGGACCAUCUGAUAGAUGAAAUUUCCACCCGGACUAUCAUUAUUGGAGAGUCCGCCAAGGAUUAUCUAAUGAGGGGAAGUCCACCAAUAACUACCUUA